rnacentral:rRNA from 1 species
UACUCGAGCGGCGAACGGGUGAGUAACACGUGAGCAACCUGCCCCUGACUCUGGGAUAAGCCCGGGAAACUGGGUCUAAUACCGGAUAUGACCACUGGUCGCAUGAUCGUGUGGUGGAAAGUUUUUCGGUUGGGGAUGGGCUCGCGGCCUAUCAGCUUGUUGGUGGGGUGAUGGCCUACCAAGGCGACGACGGGUAACCGGCCUGAGAGGGCGACCGGUCACACUGGGACUGAGACACGGCCCAGACUCCUACGGGAGGCAGCAGUGGGGAAUAUUGCGCAAUGGGCGGAAGCCUGACGCAGCGACGCCGCGUGAGGGAUGACGGCCUUCGGGUUGUAAACCUCUUUCAGCAGGGACGAAGCUAACGUGACGGUACCUGCAGAAGAAGCGCCGGCUAACUACGUGCCAGCAGCCGCGGUAAUACGUAGGGCGCAAGCGUUGUCCGGAAUUAUUGGGCGUAAAGAGCUCGUAGGCGGUUUGUCGCGUCUGUCGUGAAAGCCCACGGCUUAACCGUGGGUCUGCGGUGGAUACGGGCAGACUAGAGGCAGGUAGGGGAGAACGGAAUUCCCGGUGUAGCGGUGAAAUGCGCAGAUAUCGGGAGGAACACCGGUGGCGAAGGCGGUUCUCUGGGCCUGUACUGACGCUGAGGAGCGAAAGCGUGGGGAGCGAACAGGAUUAGAUACCCUGGUAGUCCACGCCGUAAACGUUGGGCGCUAGGUGUGGGGUCCUUCCACGGAUUCCGCGCCGCAGCUAACGCAUUAAGCGCCCCGCCUGGGGAGUACGGCCGCAAGGCUAAAACUCAAAGGAAUUGACGGGGGCCCGCACAAGCGGCGGAGCAUGUUGCUUAAUUCGACGCAACGCGAAGAACCUUACCAAGGCUUGACAUCGCCGGAAAACCAUCAGAGAUGGUGGGUCCUUUUGGGCCGGUGACAGGUGGUGCAUGGCUGUCGUCAGCUCGUGUCGUGAGAUGUUGGGUUAAGUCCCGCAACGAGCGCAACCCUCGUUCCAUGUUGCCAGCCCUUCCGGUGGGGACUCAUGGGAAACCGCCGGGGUCACUCCGAAGAAAGGUGGGGAUAACUUCAAGUAACCAUGCCCCUUAUGCUUUGGGUGGUAAAAUGUUACAAGGGCCGGCACAAAGGUCUGCAAACCCGGGGUGGGAACAAACUCCUUAAACCGGGUUUCUUUCGGCGUCGACUUCGGGUCCCAUUCUAUAUAUAUCGGCACCUCCAGAGUCCGGAAGAUGAACACUCCCUGGAUAACUUUCCUGGGCCUUGAAAUCACCGGGUCGGCAGGGAAACAG